GAUAAACGCUGGCGGCGUGCAUGAGACAUGCAAGUCGAACGAACGAGCUUGCUCGUUAGUGGCGGACGGCUGAGUAACGCGUAGGUGACCUGCCCCGAAGUGGGGGAUAACUGCCCGAAAGGGUGGCUAAUACCGCAUGUGGCGACACUUUCAUUGGUGUCAUCAAAGCCGCGAGGCGCUUCGGGAGGGGCCUGCGUCCGAUUAGCUCGUUGGUGGGGUAAUGGCUCACCAAGGCGACGAUCGGUAGGUGGUCUGAGAGGACGAUCAACCAGACUGGGACUGAGACACGGCCCAGACUCCGACGGGAGGCAGCAGUCGGGAAUUUUGAUCAAUGGGCGCAAGCCUGAAGCAGCAACGCCGCGUGCGGGAUGAAGGCCUUCGGGUUGUAAACCGCUUUUGUCAGGGACGAUGAUGACGGUACCUGACGAAUAAGUCACGGCUAACUACGUGCCAGCCGCCGCGGUAAGAC
rnacentral:rRNA from 1 species